ACGUACUCCAGAGUCAAGGCC
rnacentral:siRNA from 1 species